GAGGGUAUAGCUCAAGUGGUGGAGUGCAUGCCUAACAUGCCUGAAGCCCUGGGUUCAAUCCCCAGUACCUCCA
rnacentral:tRNA from 1 species